UGUGACAUUUAUGUUCUUGCCACGUUAGC
rnacentral:piRNA from 1 species